UGCGUAGGUGGAUUAGUAAGUCAGUGGUGAAAUCUCCGGGCUUAACCCGGAAACUGCCAUUGAUACUAUUAGUCUUGAAUACCGUGGAGGUCAGUGGAAUAUGUCAUGUAGCGGUGAAAUGCUUAGAUAUGACAUAGAACACCAAUUGCGAAGGCAGCUGGCUACACGAAUAUUGACACUCAGGCACGAAAGCUGGGAUCAAACA
rnacentral:rRNA from 1 species